UACAGAGGUGGCAAGCGUUGUCCGGAAUCACUGGGCGUAAAGGGCGCGUAGGUGGUGACCUAAGCGUGCGGUGAAAGCCCGAGGCUCAACCUCGGGUCGGCCGUGCGAACUGGGUCACUGGAGCAGAAUAGAGGCAGGUGGAAUUCCGGGUGUAGCGGUGGAAUGCGUAGAGAUCCGGAAGAACACCGGUGGCGAAGGCGGCCUGCUGGGUUCUGGCUGACACUGAGGCGCGACAGCGUGGGGAGCAAACAGG
rnacentral:rRNA from 1 species